AGGAUGGGGUGUUUCAACAAAAUUGUUGUUUAUUUAUUUAUUAAAGGGAAACUAUAGCGCCAAGAAAACAAAGUUGUUCACCUGCCACUAUAGCUUCUCCCUAACAUCUUCCUAGCUUUUAUUUCUCAUGUACAUUUUACAAUGUCAGUUUUCAGUUUGCGACAGUGCAUUGUGGGGCCUUAUUUACUUAGCACUGAAUUAUGCCUGGAUGGACAAAAAUCAGUGCAGAUGACUGCAUUCUGAAUAUUAUAUUUACUAAAUCCAAA